rnacentral:rRNA from 1 species
UGGUGCAUGGUUGUCGUCAGCUCGUGUCGUGAGAUGCUGGGUCUAAGUCCCGCAACGAGCGCAAUUCUCGUUCACAUGUUGCCAGCACGUCGUGGUGGGGACUCAUGGGAGACUGCCGGGGUCAACUCGGAGGAAGGUGAGGACGACGUCAAAUCAUCAUGCCCUUUAUGUCUUGGGCUUCACGCAUGCUACAAUGGCCGGUACAAUGGGUUGCGAUACUGUGAGGUGGAGCUAAUCCCAAAAAGCCGGUCUCAGUUGGGAUUGGGGUCUGCAACUCGAUCCCAUGAAGUCGGAGUCGCUAGUAAUCGCAGAUCAGCAACGCUGCGGUGAAUACGUUCCCGGGCCUUGUACACACCGCCCGUCAAGUCCAUGAAAGUUGGUAACACCAGAAGCAGGUGGCUUAACCUUUGUGGGGGGAGCUGUCCAAGGUGGGACCAGUGACUGGGAGUG